CUGAGAAGUCGAAGCAAUUUGAAACGUUCAAGACUUCGACUUUCAAAGUUUAAUGUUUUUAUCUGAAAAAAAGUAGGCUGUUUAUUAUUUAUUUGUUUAUGUAACAAGGUCCCCGUGUUCCCUGCUGGGGAGAUCAUUUGUUUUCUGUGCAAGUAGAGAGGGGAAAAAUCCCCAAGUAUAACAAGACACGAACAGUUAGAGCUGAUUUUCAUUUGCAUAAAUUUUCAUAUAUUUUAGUGAAAAUAAUAGCGGUGCAGAGGAGAGCUCCGCUCAGUUGAGUCAGAGGGAAGAAAAUCUUAGGAAGGACCAAAACGGAGGGAGAGAGUCGUUCACUGAUGGACGAACAAUGCGGUAUUUGAGACAGUUUUUCCAGUUAUCAUGGAAUCUUACGAAGAGGAGCUUCAACUCUCCCACCUUCCCUCCCUUCUCCAGGGAGAGGGGCCUCCUUCCAUGUUGGACCCGGACUCAAUCUGCUGCAGAGGGACAGAGUGGUUAUGCUGUGAGCGUGCGCACGCACGCAUGCACGCCACACACACACACACACACACACACACAGAGAUCUCACUGCUAACGUUUUCAGCUUACACUGCUGCUGGAACUGUUAGCCUGCCGGCUAUUUUUCUUUGAGAGACUAUAAAAAUAUGCAAAUGCUGUUGUUAAAGAGCACAGUUGAGUUUUUUUUUCUGCUUGAGCCCCUUCUGCAGAGCAAAAAGCGGAAAUUCACUUUUGUCCUUCACUUUGUUUAAAGAAAGACAGUAAUUCUCAAAGAGCCCAACGACGACAGAGACAUCAUAAACAUGUUUGAAAUGACCAUGCAGAUAUGGAAGAAUAACAUUAAUAAUAAUCCUGCUCUACUCAAAUUGUACCUGCAUAUUUAGUGAUUUUAAAAGGCCUUCCUUCUCUUUACCUCUCAUCAUGGCGGACAGGCCUUAAACACAGAGCAUCAACUGCUUUAAUAGUGAAGGAAAAGUACAGGGCGAAUUUGUAAACCCCUCACGGUGCCACUAAAACUUUUUGAAGUGAUUAUGAAGACAGUUCAGAUCAAAGGCUUUGACAACUCUGAGUGCCCGCCAAGACUGAACCCCUGUAAUCGCACAGAGCCUUCCGUACAACACAGCGCACACCCCUCAAGCACCCGGCAGAACGCAACGCCACACUCACGCAUAAACAGAUUAUCAGGGGACAGAAAACCGCUGGAAAGUAAAUAUGGGGUUUAGAGUUUUCAGACUGAACCACACUGAUAUAACCAAGGUGUUUAGUGAAAUAUUGACAGGUAGAUAUUAAUUAUCAGCGUCAGGGAGAUAAGGAAAAAAAAUAUGAAUGUAUAACAAUUAAUUAAAUAACUCUGUGCAUAUGUUUUCAAAAGCAGAUCGUUAUAUAACCUCAAUAUAUUUAAUAUUUUCCAUUGUAUUCAGCAUAUCAAAUGCAUUAAAUUAACUGCCAUAAUUUCCUAAUCCUUCACAAAGAAACUAUAAGAAGCUGGGAAAAAAAAGAGGAAGAAAAGGAGAGCGAGCAGAAAGUGCUUUGUUGAAGUCAACAAACUCUUAUGUUUUUAUAUAAUUAUGUGCUCUGCUGUGCGUAACUGCUAGGCAGCAUUGUAACAAAUGUCCAUCAUUGGCUCCAUUAGCCCCGAAGACAGACGGCCAUUAGAUUUAGCUCACUGUUUUGCUAACACUAUAAGAAAACACAAUAGCUCUGAACAAAACAACAACAAUACUAAUAGUUCAUUUUAAGUAUUCAAGUUGUACAAUAGAACUUGAGAAAUGUAUGUUGUCUUGCAUAUGUGCACACACCGUAAGCCACAUGUUCCUAUAUUACCAGUUUGCCAUUUUGAACCUGUUCACAACCCUUUUCUUUCAUGUUGUUGUUUUGCCAUUUAACUGAAAGUUUUGCUUUCGUCAGUGUAUUUACUGUUUUGUAGUACUGCACUGGUGCUGAUGUGAAACAAUAAAAUGUGUGUGACAGCAA